UUAAGUUAUUAAGGGCGCACGGUGGAUGCCUUGGCACUAGAAGCCGAUGAAGGACGUUACUAACGACGAUAUGCUUUGGGGAGCUGUAAGUAAGCUUUGAUCCAGAGAUUUCCGAAUGGGGAAACCCAGCAUGAGUUAUGUCAUGUUAUCGAUAUGUGAAUACAUAGCAUAUCAGAAGGCACACCCGGAGAACUGAAACAUCUUAGUACCCGGAGGAAGAGAAAGAAAAUUCGAUUCCCUUAGUAGCGGCGAGCGAAACGGGAAGAGCCCAAACCAACAAGCUUGCUUGUUGGGGUUGUAGGACACUCUAUACGGAGUUACAAAGGACGACAUUAGACGAAUCAUCUGGAAAGAUGAAUCAAAGAAGGUAAUAAUCCUGUAGUCGAAAAUGUUGUCUCUCUUGAGUGGAUCCUGAGUACGACGGAGCACGUGAAAUUCCGUCGGAAUCUGGGAGGACCAUCUCCUAAGGCUAAAUACUCUCUAGUGACCGAUAGUGAACCAGUACCGUGAGGGAAAGGUGAAAAGCACCCCGGAAGGGGAGUGAAAUAGAACCUGAAACCGUGUGCUUACAAGUAGUCAGAGCCCGUUAAUGGGUGAUGGCGUGCCUUUUGUAGAAUGAACCGGCGAGUUACGAUUUGAUGCAAGGUUAAGCAGUAAAUGUGGAGCCGUAGCGAAAGCGAGUCUGAAUAGGGCGUUUAGUAUUUGGUCGUAGACCCGAAACCAGGUGAUCUACCCUUGGUCAGGUUGAAGUUCAGGUAACACUGAAUGGAGGACCGAACCGACUUACGUUGAAAAGUGAGCGGAUGAACUGAGGGUAGCGGAGAAAUUCCAAUCGAACCUGGAGAUAGCUGGUUCUCUCCGAAAUAGCUUUAGGGCUAGCCUCAAGUGAUGAUUAUUGGAGGUAGAGCACUGUUUGGACGAGGGGCCCCUCUCGGGUUACCGAAUUCAGACAAACUCCGAAUGCCAAUUAAUUUAACUUGGGAGUCAGAACAUGGGUGAUAAGGUCCGUGUUCGAAAGGGAAACAGCCCAGACCACCAGCUAAGGUCCCAAAAUAUAUGUUAAGUGGAAAAGGAUGUGGCGUUGCCCAGACAACUAGGAUGUUGGCUUAGAAGCAGCCAUCAUUUAAAGAGUGCGUAAUAGCUCACUAGUCGAGUGACACUGCGCCGAAAAUGUACCGGGGCUAAACAUAUUACCGAAGCUGUGGAUUGUCCUUUGGACAAUGGUAGGAGAGCGUUCUAAGGGCGUUGAAGCAUGAUCGUAAGGACAUGUGGAGCGCUUAGAAGUGAGAAUGCCGGUGUGAGUAGCGAAAGGCGGGUGAGAAUCCCGUCCACCGAUUGACUAAGGUUUCCAGAGGAAGGCUCGUCCGCUCUGGGUUAGUCGGGUCCUAAGCUGAGGCCGACAGGCGUAGGCGAUGGAUAACAGGUUGAUAUUCCUGUACCACCUAUAAUCGUUUUAAUCGAUGGGGGGACGCAGUAGGAUAGGCGAAGCGUGCGAUUGGAUUGCACGUCUAAGCAGUAAGGCUGAGUAUUAGGCAAAUCCGGUACUCGUUAAGGCUGAGCUGUGAUGGGGAGAAGACAUUGUGUCUUCGAGUCGUUGAUUUCACACUGCCGAGAAAAGCCUCUAGAUAGAAAAUAGGUGCCCGUACCGCAAACCGACACAGGUAGUCAAGAUGAGAAUUCUAAGGUGAGCGAGCGAACUCUCGUUAAGGAACUCGGCAAAAUGACCCCGUAACUUCGGGAGAAGGGGUGCUCUUUAGGGUUAACGCCCAGAAGAGCCGCAGUGAAUAGGCCCAAGCGACUGUUUAUCAAAAACACAGGUCUCUGCUAAACCGUAAGGUGAUGUAUAGGGGCUGACGCCUGCCCGGUGCUGGAAGGUUAAGAGGAGUGGUUAGCUUCUGCGAAGCUACGAAUCGAAGCCCCAGUAAACGGCGGCCGUAACUAUAACGGUCCUAAGGUAGCGAAAUUCCUUGUCGGGUAAGUUCCGACCCGCACGAAAGGCGUAACGAUUUGGGCACUGUCUCAACGAGAGACUCGGUGAAAUCAUAGUACCUGUGAAGAUGCAGGUUACCCGCGACAGGACGGAAAGACCCCGUGGAGCUUUACUGUAGCCUGAUAUUGAAAUUCGGCACAGCUUGUACAGGAUAGGUAGGAGCCUUUGAAACGUGAGCGCUAGCUUACGUGGAGGCGCUGGUGGGAUACUACCCUAGCUGUGUUGGCUUUCUAACCCGCACCACUUAUCGUGGUGGGAGACAGUGUCAGGCGGGCAGUUUGACUGGGGCGGUCGCCUCCUAAAAGGUAACGGAGGCGCUCAAAGGUUCCCUCAGAAUGGUUGGAAAUCAUUCAUAGAGUGUAAAGGCAUAAGGGAGCUUGACUGCGAGACCUACAAGUCGAGCAGGGUCGAAAGACGGACUUAGUGAUCCGGUGGUUCCGCAUGGAAGGGCCAUCGCUCAACGGAUAAAAGCUACCCCGGGGAUAACAGGCUUAUCUCCCCCAAGAGUUCACAUCGACGGGGAGGUUUGGCACCUCGAUGUCGGCUCAUCGCAUCCUGGGGCUGUAGUCGGUCCCAAGGGUUGGGCUGUUCGCCCAUUAAAGCGGUACGCGAGCUGGGUUCAGAACGUCGUGAGACAGUUCGGUCCCUAUCCGUCGUGGGCGUAGGAAAUUUGAGAGGAGCUGUCCUUAGUACGAGAGGACCGGGAUGGACAUACCUCUGGUGUACCAGUUGUCGUGCCAACGGCAUAGCUGGGUAGCUAUGUGUGGACGGGAUAAGUGCUGAAAGCAUCUAAGCAUGAAGCCCCCCUCAAGAUGAGAUUUCCCAACUUCGGUUAUAAGAUCCCUCAAAGAUGAUGAGGUUAAUAGGUUCGAGGUGGAAGCAUGGUGACAUGUGGAGCUGACGAAUACUAAUCGAUCGAAGACUUAAUCAA
rnacentral:rRNA from 1 species